UUUCUAGGUAGUGGAGGUCCUGCUGAAAGUUUUCAGUGUCUUCCUCUACUUGCUUAUGCUCAAAUCGGAUGCAGAGCACCUGCUGUGGGUCCAGUCUCCAGACACCUGUGUGAGUGAAGAGCUGGCUAUGAUAUAUCACCAAUAAACAAAUAGAAGAAUGGCUUUUCCAGUGGAUAGGAGCAGUCCUGUUUCCAGAGAAUGGUGCUGUUAUGUUCAAACAAAGAUGCAGAACACAACUCAGCUCCCAUGUCUUCCACCAGCCUCUCCUGACUGAUAAGAUACACCUAAGGAGAAGCAGAAGCAAA
rnacentral:lncRNA from 1 species